AGGGGUGCGUUUGCGCCCGGCCGGAAGUGAGGAGAGUCACCAUGGGAACCGUGGACGCUGAAACUAGCCACUUCCUCUUGGCACUGAGAAGCUGAAUCUGCGCGAUCCUCACAUCAACCUCGGUCUCUCUGGCUGGAUAUUUAUCGGGUUCUGCCUGAAAGGCCGUCUAACGCCUUUCCUCUUGGAAAAGUCGCAGGAACAGAAUCUUGUUCUGUUGCCCAGGCUGCUCUUGAACUCUUGGCUUCAAGAGAUCCUCUUGCCUUGGCCUCCAAAAGUGCUGGGAUGAAUCUCUGUCAUGGUGGCAUGAGCCACCAUGCCUGGCCCAGAUCCUGAAUUCUAGCAGGACAGCUCAUGCCCACCAGUCUGAAGACACCAAAAGGAGAACUGACUCAAUGCAAGAAUGCAAUUUCUUUAGUUCCAUGACGUCACCCUUCAUUCUUCAACCAAUCAGUGAUCCUUAUACCUUGGCCCACUAACCAUCCAAACCCCUUAAAAUCCCUAGAUCCUAAACUCCUUGAGGAGGUGGAUUUGAGGUUUCCUCCAGUCUCCUUGUUUGGCUGCCUUGUGAUUAAACCUCUUUCUCUGCUGCA
rnacentral:lncRNA from 1 species